UGGGGAAUAUUGGACAAUGGGCGCAAGCCUGAUCCAGCCAUGCCGCGUGUGUGAAGAAGGCCUUCGGGUUGUAAAGCACUUUUCGGACGGAACGAAAUCGCACGGGUGAAUAUCCCGUGUGGAUGACGGUACCGUAAGAAGAAGCACCGGCUAACUACGUGCCAGCAGCCGCGGUAAUACGUAGGGUGCGAGCGUUAAUCGGAAUUACUGGGCGUAAAGUGUGCGCAGGCGGCUUCGCAAGUCGAGUGUGAAAUCCCCGGGCUUAACUUGGGAACGGCGCUCGAAACUACGGAGCUCGAGUAUGGCAGAGGGAGGUGGAAUUCCACGUGUAGCGGUGAAAUGCGUAGAGAUGUGGAGGAACACCAAUGGCGAAGGCAGCCUCCUGGGCCAAUACUGACGCUCAUGCACGAAAGCGUGGGGAGCAAACAGGAUUAGAUACCCGCGUAGUCCCUGAGCGGGCUGGCAAGGCGCAU
rnacentral:rRNA from 1 species